rnacentral:rRNA from 1 species
GACCUCGUAAUUGGAUUUCUGUUUUUAAAAUCGGGCGUAACCUCACGGUUUCUGUACCCCGUUUCUUAGAUGCAUCCUCAGGGUUCUGAUAUCUGGUAUUAAUUUAUCGGAUUUUUGGUCCUUGUCAUUUACUGUGAGCUCCUAUAGUGUUCCUGGAGGCUUAGGCUUGAAUACUUUGCCAUGGAAUAAUAAAAUAGGACCUUGGUCUAUUUUGUUGGUUUACAUUCCAAGGUAAUGAUUAAUAUGCAUAGUUGGCGGUAUUCGUAUUCUAUUGUCACACGUGAAAUUCUUGGAUUUAUGGAACAUCAAAUACUGCUAAGGCCUUUACCGUGGAUGUUUUCAUUACUCGCGAACGAAAGUUAGGGGAUCGAACAUGAUUAUAUACCAUCGUACUCUUAACCAUGAACUAUGCCGACUAGGGCUUGGUGGAAUAUAUCAAAGUUCCAUCAGCACCUUAUGAGAAAUCAAAGUCUUUGGGUUCCGGGGGGAGUAUGGUCGCAAGGUUGAAACUGUUCGAACUUGACAGAAGGGCCCCGCCACACCUGGAGCCUGCCUCUUAAUUUGACUCAACACUGGAAAACUUACCCGGUCCAGACAUAGUGAGGAUUGACAGAUUGAGAGCUCUUUCUUGAUUCUAUGGGUGGUGGUGCAUGGCCGUUCUUAGUUGGUGGAGUGAUUUGUCUGGGUAAUUCCGCUCACCAACGAGACCCCCGCCUGCUAAAUAGCUAAUAGAAUACUAUGUAUUCUAUAUAACUUCUUAGAGGGACUUUCGGUGACUAAUCGAAG